AUGUGCGGCCACCUGGACACACCUGCUCUUGUUUGGUCUCAGAACCUAAGCAGGGGGGGGCCUGGUGAGUCAUUGGACAGACCUGGGAUCUCCAAGUUACCGCAUCAA
rnacentral:rRNA from 1 species